UAAUACCGGCGCCCUAAGUGGUCGUCACUAUUAUUGGGCCUAAAACGUCCGUAGCCGGUUUGGUAAAUCCGUGGGUAAAUCAGACAGCCUAACUGUCUGAAUUCUGCGGGGACUGCCAGACUUGAGACCGGGAGAGGUGCGGGGUACUUGCGGGGUACCGGGAAAAUGGGAUCAUCCCGUAGAGACCACCUGUUGCGAAGGCGCCGCACUAGAACGGAUCUGACGGUCAGGGACGGAGCCUAGGGGCACGAACCGGAUUAGAUACCCGGGUAGUCCUAGGUGUAAACGCUGUGGACUUGGUGUCGGGGACCUUCUGAGGGUUUCCGGUGCCGGAGUGAAGAUGUUAAGUCCACUGCCUGGGGAGUACGGUCGCAAGGCUG
rnacentral:rRNA from 1 species